GAUUUUUGCUACCAUCUUGUUUCCAUGGAGUGAUCAGAAGGGAUUAGAAGGAACACGGCUGGUACUUAUCUUCAAGCUCAAGAACAACCAGGGGAGGGGGCUGAAGGAGCCCAGGGCGCAGUUGACAGACAAUGCCAGAAGGAUGGGGCAUGGUGCCCAGAGGAGGGGAAGCGGCUGAGCCCCUGCAGCGAUGAAGCAAGGAGGGAGGGGAGAGCCAUGCUCCUCUUGAGAAGAGCUCAGGGAGCAAGAGAAAGACCCCAGCAGCGUCCGCCGCUCCCCAAACCCCACGGCAGGGGCUUACCACCAACCCCUUCAGGAAAGCAGAGAGAGCAACAAAAGCAUCCCCCACGAGGGACUGACAAACGUGUCAGAUGCCCAUGAGCUCUUCCAGUGCUGGCCCCUGGACCACUGCCUCCACUUUUCUACCUGAGGAAGGUCAGUGCUAGAGACUUCCUCUCCUGCUAGCUCUGGAGAAGUGAGCUGCCAUGUUCCGAGAGGACCGAUGGAGAGGGCCUCCUAGCAAGGAACUGUGGGUGGCCUCUAG
rnacentral:lncRNA from 1 species